CCUACGGGAGGCAGCAGUAAGGAAUAUUGGUCAAUGGGCGCAAGCCUGAACCAGCCAUGCCGCGUGCAGGAAGACGGCCCUAUGGGUUGUAAACUGCUUUUGAACAAGAGAAAACCUCGGUACGUGUACCGAGCUGAUAGUAUUGUUAGAAUAAGCAUCGGCUAACUUCGUGCCAGCAGCCGCGGUAAGACGAAGGAUGCAAGCGUUAUCCGGAUUCAUUGGGUUUAAAGGGUGCGUAGGCGGCCUGAUAAGUCAGUGGUGAAAUCUCUCAGCUUAACUGAGAAACUGCCAUUGAUACUGUCGGGCUUGAGUACAGAUGAUGUGGGCGGAAUAUGACAUGUAGUGGUGAAAUACUUAGAUAUGUCAUAGAACACCGAUUGCGAAGGCAGCUCACAAAACUGUAACUGACGCUGAGGCACGAAAGUGCGGGGAUCAAACAGGAUUAGAUACCCUGGUAGUCCGCACCGUAAACGAUGAUUACUCGUUGUUGGCAAUAUGACCGUCAGCGACCAAGCGAAAGCGAAUAAGUAAUUCCACCUGGGGAGUUACGCCGGNACGGUUGAAACUUCGAAAUUGAAUUGAGGCUUGGNGAGNGCGACGGACGACGACGAGGAGAGG
rnacentral:rRNA from 1 species